UACGAAGGGGGCUAGCGUUGUUCGGAAUUACUGGGCGUAAAGCGCGCGCAGGCGGCUCUUCAAGUCAGGGGUGAAAGCCCAGAGCUCAACUCUGGAACUGCCUUUGAGACUGAAGAGCUUGAGUACGGGAGAGGUGAGUGGAAUUCCCAGUGUAGAGGUGAAAUUCGUAGAUAUUGGGAAGAACACCGGUGGCGAAGGCGGCUCACUGGACAUGUAUUGACGCUGAGGUGCGAAAGCGUGGGGAGCAAACAGG
rnacentral:rRNA from 1 species